rnacentral:rRNA from 1 species
CCUGGCUCAGAUUGAACGCUGGCGGCAGGCCUAACACAUGCNAGUCGAGCGGAUNAGUGGAGCUUGCUCNAUGAUUCAGCGGCGGACGGGUGAGUAAUGCCUAGGAAUCUGCCUGGUAGUGGGGGACAACGUUUNGAAAGGAACGCUAAUACCGCAUACGUCCUACGGGAGAAAGCAGGGGACCUUCGGGCCUUGCGCUAUCAGAUGAGCCUAGGUCGGAUUAGCUAGUUGGUGAGGUAAAGGCUCACCAAGGCGACGAUCCGUAACUGGUCUGAGAGGAUGAUCAGUCACACUGGAACUGAGACACGGUCCAGACUCCUACGGGAGGCAGCAGUGGGGAAUAUUGGACAAUGGGCGAAAGCCUGAUCCAGCCAUGCCGCGUGUGUGAAGAAGGUCUUCGGAUUGUAAAGCACUUUAAGUUGGGAGGAAGGGCAGUAAGUUAAUACCUUGCUGUUUGACGGUACC